GAUGAACGCUGGCGGCGUGCUUAACACAUGCAAGUCGAACGGAGAUAUCAUUUUCGAAGCGAUUAGUUUACUAAGAGCGGAGAUGUUGCUAUCUUAGUGGCGGACGGGUGAGUAACGCGUGGGUAACCUGCCUUGCACUGGGGGAUAACACUUAGAAAUAGGUGCUAAUACCGCAUAACAGUAGGAGACGCAUGUCUUUUACUUGAAAAUUCCGGUGGUGUAAGAUGGACCCGCGUCUGAGUAGCUUGUUGGCGGGGUAACGGCCCACCAAGGCGACGAUCAGUAGCCGGCCUGAGAGGGUGAACGGCCACAUUGGGACUGAGACACGGCCCAA
rnacentral:rRNA from 1 species